CGACACCUACCGCCAAUAAAAAUAUCGUUAGGAUCACGGCACAUUGAAAAGACGCUGCAGUUACACAAUAUUUGAGGUUGGUGCACAAGGUCGUAGGACCGCUUCCCGGCCCUUAGAAAAGGACCCAGACGCCAUGAACCGUCAGCACCUAUGAUUUCUAAUAUUUGAGUUAAAAUGUCAUCUGGAAGAUUUGGUAUUUCAAUUUUCUCGAAGUGAAAGCGUAAGGAAGCAAUGAUGCCCCCUUUAAAUAGCUUUUGCCAAAAUCACAUCGGACAUAUUGUCAGUGUAACGGCUAUAUCUAGUAGAUAUAAAGUGAAUUUUUCAGAUAAUGCCCCAUU
rnacentral:lncRNA from 1 species